UACGUAGGUGGCAAGCGUUAUCCGGAUUUACUGGGUGUAAAGGGCGUGUAGGCGGGAAAGCAAGUCAGAUGUGAAAACCACGGGCUCAACCUGUGGCCUGCAUUUGAAACUGUUUUUCUUGAGUACUGGAGAGGCAGACGGAAUUCCUCGUGUAGCGGUGAAAUGCGUAGAUAUGAGGAGGAACACCAGUGGCGAAGGCGGUCUGCUGGACAGCAACUGACGCUGAGGCGCGAAGGCGUGGGGAGCAAACAGG
rnacentral:rRNA from 1 species